rnacentral:rRNA from 1 species
UACGUAGGGUCCGAGCGUUGUCCGGAAUUAUUGGGCGUAAAGGGCUCGUAGGCGGUUUGUCGCGUCGGGAGUGAAAACACUGGGCUUAACUCAGUGCUUGCUUCCGAUACGGGCAGACUUGAGUACUGCAGGGGAGACUGGAAUUCCUGGUGUAGCGGUGGAAUGCGCAGAUAUCAGGAGGAACACCGAUGGCGAAGGCAGAUCUCUGGGCCAUUACUGACGCUGAGGAGCGAAAGCAUGGGGAGCGAACAGG